GCACAGAGAGCUUGCUCUCGGGUGACGAGCGGCGGACGGGUGAGUAAUGUCUGGGAAACUGCCUGAUGGAGGGGGAUAACUACUGGAAACGGUAGCUAAUACCGCAUAACGUCGCAAGACCAAAGUGGGGGACCUUCGGGCCUCAUGCCAUCAGAUGUGCCCAGAUGGGAUUAGCUGGUAGGUGGGGUAACGGCUCACCUAGGCGACGAUCCCUAGCUGGUCUGAGAGGAUGACCAGCCACACUGGAACUGAGACACGGUCCAGACUCCUACGGGAGGCAGCAGUGGGGAAUAUUGCACAAUGGGCGCAAGCCUGAUGCAGCCAUGCCGCGUGUGUGAAGAAGGCCUUCGGGUUGUAAAGCACUUUCAGCGGGGAGGAAGGCGGUGAGGUUAAUAACCUCGUCGAUUGACGUUACCCGCAGAAGAAGCACCGGCUAACUCCGUGCCAGCAGCCGCGGUAAUACGGAGGGUGCAAGCGUUAAUCGGAAUUACUGGGCGUAAAGCGCACGCAGGCGGUCUGUCAAGUCGGAUGUGAAAUCCCCGGGCUCAACCUGGGAACUGCA
rnacentral:rRNA from 1 species